GAUGAACGCUGGCGGCGUGCCUAAUACAUGCAGGUCGAGCGAACAGACGAGGAUCUUGCUCCUCUGACGUUACCGGCGGACGGGUGAGUAACACGUAACUAACCUACCUAUAAGACUGGGAUAACUUCGGGAAACCGGAGCUAAUACCAUAUAAUAUAUAGAACCGCAUAUUUCAAUAGUGAAAAACAGUUUUGCUAUCAAUUAUAGCUUGAUCCGCGCCGCAUUGAGUAGUUGGUAAGGUAACAGCUUACCAAGGCAACGAUGCGUAGCCGACCUGAGAGGGUGAUCGGCCACACUGGAACUGAGAUACGGUACAGGGUCAUAGGGGAGGCACCAGUAGGGAAUCUUCAGGCAUGAGCGAAAGCUUGACGGAGCAACGCCGAGUGAGUGAUGAAGGUCUUCGGAUCGUAAAACGCUGUUUUUAGGGAAGUAAAAAUGUGUAAGUAACUAUGAACGUCUUGACGGUACCUACACAGAAAGUCACGGCUAAAUACGUG
rnacentral:rRNA from 1 species